UACAGAGGGCCCAAGCGUUGUUCGGAUUCACUGGGCGUAAAGGGUGCGUAGGUGGUGAGGAAAGUCGGAUGUGAAAUCUCCAAGCUCAACUUGGAAACUGCAUUGGAAACUACCUUGCUAGAGGAUUUGAGGGGGGAUUGGAAUACUUGGUGUAGCAGUGAAAUGCGCAGAUAUCAGGAGGAACACCAAUGGCGAAGGCAGCACGCUGGGACGGUACUGACGCUGAGACGCGAAAGCGAGGGGAGCAAACAGG
rnacentral:rRNA from 1 species